rnacentral:rRNA from 1 species
GGGCGUAAAGAGCUCGUAGGUGGUUUGUCGCGUCGUCUGUGUAAGCCCGCAGCUUAACUGCGGGACUGCAGGCGAUACGGGCAUAACUUGAGUGCUGUAGGGGAGACUGGAAUUCCUGUGUAGCGGUGGAAUGCGCAGAUAUCAGGAGGAACACCGAUGGCGAAGGCAGGUCUCUGGGCAGUAACUGACGCUGAGGAGCGAAAGCAUGGGUAGCGAACAGGAUUAGAUACCCUGGUAGUCCAUGCCGUAAACGGUGGGCGCUAGGUGUGAGUCCCUUCCACGGGGUUCGUGCCGUAGCUAACGCAUUAAGCGCCCCGCCUGGGGAGUACGGCCGCAAGGCUAAAACUCAAAGGAAUUGACGGGGGCCCGCACAAGCGGCGGAGCAUGUGGAUUAAUUCGAUGCAACGCGAAGAACCUUACCUGGGCUUGACAUACACCAGACCGGGCCAGAGAUGGUCUUUCCCUUUGUGGCUGGUGUACAGGUGGUGCAUGGUUGUCGUCAGCUCGUGUCGUGAGAUGUUGGGUUAAGUCCCGCAACGAGCGCAACCCUUGUCUUAUGUUGCCAGCACGUUAUGGUGGGGACUCGUGAGAGACUGCCGGGGUUAACUCGGAGGAAGGUGGGGAUGACGUCAAAUCAUCAUGCCCCUUAUGUCCAGGGCUUCACACAUGCUACAAUGGUCGGUACAACGCGUCUGCGAGCCUGUGAGGGUGAGCUAAUCGCUGUAAAGCCGGUCGUAGUUCGGAUUGGGGUCUGCAACUCGACCCCAUGAAGUCGGAGUCGCUAGUAAUCGCAGAUCAGCAACGCU